rfam:Gossypium arboreum cultivar AKA8401 contig_6121_1, whole genome shotgun sequence.
UGUUAAAAAUUUUAUCCGUUUGUACUAUUAGAAAGUGACGUGACCGACGGAAUAAUCAAAUAAUGACACGUAGCGUGUCAUGUGUACUUUAUGCUAACGUACAAAGAUCAGUUUUUAACAAUAAAAAUGGACGAAAACUUCAGUA